rnacentral:misc_RNA from 1 species
AAGUCGUAACAAGGUUUCCGUAGGUGAACCUGCGGAAGGAUCAUUACAGUAUUCUUUUGCCAGCGCUUAAUAGCGCGGCGAAAAACCUUACACACUAUGUUUUUUUAAUUUGAAACUAUUGCUUUGGUCUGGCUUAGAAAUAGGUUGGGCCAAAAGGUUUUAUUACCAAAACUUCAAUAUUUAUAUUGAAUUGUUAUUUUAAAUUUUUUGUCAGUUGCAUUGUUGAAUUAAUCAAAAAUUCUUCAAAA